GGAAACUUGAAAACUACCGUUGGAUAAAAAAUGGACGUCGGAGAUUCAUCAACGUCAUCACGAGUAAAAAAUUUACUCGCAGUAAAAUUUUUACUCAUGAGUAAAUCCGUGAGUAAAAUUUUUACUUGUGGUGACGUGGACAAAUCUUAGACAUCCAUUUUUUAUUCAAUGGUAACUUUCAGGUUUUC
rnacentral:pre_miRNA from 2 species